rnacentral:rRNA from 1 species
CGAUUACUUCGGUAAAGAGCGGCGGACGGGUGAGUAACGCGUGGGUAACCUACCCUGUACACACGGAUAACAUACCGAAAGGUAUGCUAAUACGGGAUAAUAUAUUUGAGAGGCAUCUCUUAAAUAUCAAAGGUGAGCCAGUACAGGAUGGACCCGCGUCUGAUUAGCUAGUUGGUAAGGUAACGGCUUACCAAGGCGACGAUCAGUAGCCGACCUGAGAGGGUGAUCGGCCACAUUGGAACUGAGACACGGUCCAAACUCCUACGGGAGGCAGCAGUGGGGAAUAUUGCACAAUGGGCGAAAGCCUGAUGCAGCAACGCCGCGUGAGUGAUGAAGGCCUUCGGGUCGUAAAACUCUGUCCUCAAGGAAGAUAAUGACGGUACUUGAGGAGGAAGCCCCGGCUAACUACGUGCCAGCAGCCGCGGUAAUACGUAGGGGGCUAGCGUUAUCCGGAUUUACUGGGCGUAAAGGGUGCGUAGGCGGUCUUUCAAGUCAGGAGUGAAAGGCUACGGCUCAACCGUAGUAAGCUCUUGAAACUGGGAGACUUGAGUGCAGGAGAGGAGAGUGGAAUUCCUAGUGUAGCGGUGAAAUGCGUAGAUAUUAGGAGGAACACCAGUUGCGAAGGCGGCUCUCUGGACUGUAACUGACGCUGAGGCACGAAAGCGUGGGGAGCAAACAGGAUUAGAUACCCUGGUAGUCCACGCUGUAAACGAUGAGUACUAGGUGUCGGGGGUUACCCCCUUCGGUGCCGCAGCUAACGCAUUAAGUACUCCGCCUGGGAAGUACGCUCGCAAGAGUGAAACUCAAAGGAAUUGACGG